GAUUAACGCUGGCGGCGUGCAUAACACAUGCAAGUCGAACGAAGUGGCGGACGGGAGAGUAACGCGUGAGUAACAUGCCUUACACAAGGGGAUAGCAGUUGGAAACGACGAAUAAUACCCUAUGGUGUAAGAUGGACUCGCGUCUGAUUAGCUAGUUGGUGAGGUAACGGCCCACCAAGGCAACGAUCAGUAGCCGGCUUGGAAGAGUGUACGGCCACAUUGCGGCUGGGAGACGGCCCAGACUCGACGAGAGGCAGCAGUGGGGAAUUUUGCACAAUGGGGGAGACCCGGAUGCAGCGAGGCCGCAUGAUUUAGAAGGCCGUCGGGUUGUAAAAAUCUUUUGUAUGGGAAGCGGUACCAUACGAAUAAGGACCGGCUAAUUACGUGCCAGCAGCCGCGGUAAUAC
rnacentral:rRNA from 1 species